AUGAGAUUUCUCCUCAACCCCAAUGACCACAACUACCACAAGUGGAAGUCGUUCUUCCUCCUCGUUCUCAUCCGCUACGGCGUCACCCAGUUCGUCGAACACCCCCUCCCUCCGAAUGCCACUGCUCUUCAGCGCGAGACCGACGCCCACCUUGUGCUCUGGAUCUACUCCACCGUCCCUGACAACCUCGUCGACCACAUCGUCGGGGCCACCACCACCUUCGACCUUUGGAACCGCAUCCGCGACUACUUCCUGGCAAACCGUGCAGCUCGUUACAUGACGCUGAAUCGGCAAUACCGCAAUCUCAAACAAGGCGACCUCUCCGUUGCCGAAUAUGCCCGCCGCAUGAAGCUUCUCAUCGCUGGGUUGGCCGACAUCGACCACGCCGUCACCGAGGUUGAUCUCACCACCCAGUUUCUCCACGGCAUCGACAAACGGCUCGACACCAUUCGUGUUGUCUUGGGUGACACCGUGCCUCUGCCGCUAUUCGAGACGGUCUUCUCGCGCCUGAAGCUCGCAGAGGAAAACCUCGCCCAGCGCGUGCCCGACGAGCCCAUUCCCAUUGAUGUCUACUACACAGCCUUCUUCUUGUAG
rnacentral:rRNA from 1 species